rnacentral:rRNA from 1 species
AGAGUUUGAUCAUGGCUCAGAUUGAACGCUGGCGGCAGGCCUAACACAUGCAAGUCGAGCGCGAAAGAUCUUCGGAUUGAGUAGAGCGGCGGACGGGUGAGUAACGCGUAGGAAUCUACCUGGUAGUGGGGGACAACUCGGGGAAACUCGAGCUAAUACCGCAUACGCCCUACGGGGGAAAGCGGGGGAUCUUCGGACCUUGCGCUAUCAGAUGAGCCUGCGUUGGAUUAGCUAGUUGGUGGGGUAAAGGCCUACCAAGGCGACGAUCCAUAGCUGGUCUGAGAGGAUGAUCAGCCACACCGGGACUGAGACACGGCCCGGACUCCUACGGGAGGCAGCAGUGGGGAAUAUUGCGCAAUGGGGGAAACCCUGACGCAGCCAUGCCGCGUGUGUGAAGAAGGCCUUCGGGUUGUAAAGCACUUUCACUUGGGAAGAAAAGCUUGUAGCUAAUACCUGCAAGCCGUGACAUUACCUUGAGAAGAAGCACCGGCUAACUCCAUGCCAGCAGCCGCGGUAAUACGGAGGGUGCGAGCGUUAAUCGGAAUUACUGGGCGUAAAGCGCGCGUAGGCGGUUUGUUAAGUCGGAUGUGAAAGCCCCGGGCUCAACCUGGGAAUUGCACCCGAUACUGAUCGACUGGAGUGCGAGAGAGGGAGGUAGAAUUCCACGUGUAGCGGUGAAAUGCGUAGAUAUGUGGAGGAAUACCGGUGGCGAAGGCGGCCUCCUGGCUCGACACUGACGCUGAGGUGCGAAAGCGUGNGGAGCAAACAGGAUUAGAUACCCUGGUAGUCCCCGCCGUAAACGAUGUCUACUACCCGUUGGGG